rnacentral:rRNA from 1 species
CCUACGGGUGGCAGCAGUGGGGGAUAUUGCACAAUGGGGGAAACCCUGAUGCAGCGACGCCGCGUGUGGGAAGACGGUCCUCUGGAUUGUAAACCACUGUCCCCAGGGACGAAAAUGACGGUACCUGGGGAGGAAGCUCCGGCUAACUACGUGCCAGCAGCCGCGGUAAUACGGAGGGAGCGAGCGUUGUCCGGAAUUACUGGGUGUAAAGGGAGCGUAGGCGGGGAUGCAAGUUGGGUGUCAAAACUACCGGCUCAACUGGUAGUCGCACUCAAAACUGCAGCUCUUGAGGGAAGUAGAGGCAGGCGGAAUUCCUAGUGUAGCGGUGAAAUGCGUAGAUAUCAGGAGGAACACCGGUGGCGAAGGCGGCCUGCUGGACUGCAACUGACGUUGAGGCCCGAAAGCGUGGGGAGCAAACAGGAUUAGAUACCCUGGUAGUC